rnacentral:lncRNA from 1 species
UUUUUAUUUUUGAAAAAUGCAUUUUAACUCAUUUUUAAUUUGAUUUUUAAUUAUGUUUAAAAAUAUUCUUGAGCCAUUUGGUUGACCUUGUGUUGUAUGACUUUCUGUUUGGCCUUGAUCAUGGUUGAUUUGAACUUCCAUUUGAUCAAUACCAUUGGAUUUAGGGGGUUAAUGAAAUGUACAUUUUAUCCCUCAAAAUGAAUGGAUAGUAUUGAUCAGAUUAAAUUCCUCUUGUGAUCAAUUUAGGUUUCUAUUUCCC